rnacentral:rRNA from 1 species
GUCUAUGCCCAUUCCACCUUGAACGUGCCCGAUCUCGCCUGAUCUUGGAAGCUAAGCAGGGUUGGGUCUGGUUAGUACUUGGAUGGGAGAAAUCAAAACGUCCAGGAUA